GUGGCAUGGAAAGCCUCUCGAUCGGCUCACUUUUCUGGCAGUUUUUGAGUGGUAAAAUUUCAAGGUGAACAUCAUCCUUCAAGGUCUAGGGAUCAAAAAAAUAAAUCCAAGGGAAGUAAUAAGCUUUAAAUGGACAUAAUUAUCUGACCUGCCAAAUUAUAUAUUUGUUUUAAAUAAAUCAAAGUGGCACAGUAGGCGGCAUUGUGUUUCUAACAAACAAAUCGUGGUAAAAGGUCAAGGUCAUCAUUCAAGGUCUAAGGUCAUAAAUACAAAUCAAAGUGAAGUAAUAAGCUUGAAAGGGAGAUAAUUAUUCAAUAUUGAAAUAGCAACUUGAUAUUUGGCAUGCAUGUGUAUCUCAUGGAGCUGCACAUUGAGUGGUGAAUCUACAGUCACGGCCUUGGUUGUCAGUGAUGUCUGACUUGGUCAUUUUGACUGUCUACAGACCCCUACCCCCUGGUUGGAUUGGACAAAAUCCAAGGGAAGUAAUAAGCUUUAAAGGGAGAUGAUUUGUAUACCUGCCAAAUGAUAAAUAGAAAAAUUAUUUUAUAGCAGCGCAGUAGGGGGCAUUGUGUUUCUGACGAACACAUCUCUUGUUUGUCUUUGAACUUUCUUCCUCUCUGGAGGCCACAUGAUGACAAAUGGUCCAAAUUGUUAUCUCUGCUAAGUUUGAAUCAGGGUCAUUUGCAUCUGAAAACUAGGUCACCAGGUAUUUGAAAACUAGGUCACCAGGUAUUUGAAAACUAGGUCACCAGGUAUUUGAAAACUAGGUCACCAGGUAUUGAAAAACUAGGUCACCAGGUAUUUGAAAACUAGGUCACCAGGUAUUUGAAAACUAGGUCACCAGGUAGUGGAAAACUAGGUCACCAGGUAUUUGAAAACUAGGUCACCAGGUAUUUGAAAACUAGGUCACCAGGUAUUUGAAAACUAGGUCACCAGGUAUUUGAAAAUACAUUUAACAAGUCUUUAAUCUUGAUGUAUGUAUUACUCAACCUCAAUCAAAUAUUUGAACAUAUCAAGGACAUUUGAUUAUGGUUAAGUUUAAAAAAAAACACUUGUCAAGUCUUCGACAAUUAUUGUACUUUGAACACAAAUGAGUGCUAUUCAGCCGUCAUGGACAUCUUGUUCUUAAAAAAAAAAGAUUUUAGAAACUUGGGCAUGAAGGUUGUUUAAAUACAACUUAUGUCCUUAAAGGGACAAGUACAUGUUUUUAAAUGCUUAAUAUCAUCAGUUAUGUAAUCCUGGUAUAUAACUUUGUAAAACUGGAUGAAAUUUAUUCAUUAAUGCAC